rnacentral:rRNA from 1 species
ACGAACGCUGGCGGCGUGCCUAACACAUGCAAGUCGAACGGAAGUAGCAAUACCUUAGUGGCGCACGGGUGAGUAAUGCAUGGGUAAUCUGCCCUGAGGAUUGGGAUAGCUACGCGAAAGUGUAGGUAAUACCGGAUAAGCUGCAUUGAUGAGUUCAGUGCAGGAACAGCUAGCCGCAAGGCCGGCGCCUUAGGAUGAGCUCAUGUCCUAUUAGUUAGUUGGCGGGGUAACGGCCCACCAAGACGAUGAUCAUUAGGGGAACUGAGAGGUUGAUCCCCCACACUGGCACUGAGAUACGGGCCAGACUCCUACGGGAGGCAGCAGUGGGGAAUUUUGGACAAUGGGCGCAAGCCUGAUCCAGCCAUGCCGCGUGAGUGAAGAAGG